AGUCGUACCUCAGUUUGCGACUUAAUUUGUUUUACGAUUUAGGGAAAGAUGGCUCAGUUUAUGUUUGUCUCGGGAAGAUGGCCAUGGUCAUUUUUGUCAAGUAAUGCAGAGUUUAUGAACAGAAGCAAAAUUUUGCUGCACGAUUUUCUUUGCAAACCCAUCUGUUUGCAAACAGAAGCAUUUGUGAACCAGAACAUUAUGGUACAGGUUAGCUUACAGGCUUAGCUGUGACAGAGACAAAUGUGCAAUACUGGAAAGAGG
ensembl:lincRNA